rnacentral:rRNA from 1 species
ACGGGUGAGUAAUGUCUGGGAAACUGCCUGAUGGAGGGGGAUAACUACUGGAAACGGUAGCUAAUACCGCAUAACGUCGCAAGACCAAAGAGGGGGACCUUCGGGCCUCUUGCCAUCGGAUGUGCCCAGAUGGGAUUAGCUUGUUGGUGGGGUAACGGCUCACCAAGGCGACGAUCCCUAGCUGGUCUGAGAGGAUGACCAGCCACACUGGAACUGAGACACGGUCCAGACUCCUACGGGAGGCAGCAGUGGGGAAUAUUGCACAAUGGGCGCAAGCCUGAUGCAGCCAUGCCGCGUGUAUGAAGAAGGCCUUCGGGUUGUAAAGUACUUUCAGCGGGGAGGAAGGGAGUGAAGUUAAUACCUUUGCUCAUUGACGUUACCCGCAGAAGAAGCACCGGCCAACUCCGUGCCAGCAGCCGCGGUAAUACGGAGGGCGCAAGCGCUAAUCGGAAUUACUGGGCGUAAAGCGCACGCAGGCGGUUUGUUAAGUCAGAUGUGAAAUCCCCGGGCUCAACCUGGGAACUGCAUCUGAUACUGGCAAGCUUGAGUCUCGUAGAGGGGGGUAGAAUUCCAGGUGUAGCGGUGAAAUGCGUAGAGAUCUGGAGGAAUACCGGUGGCGAAGGCGGCCCCCUGGACGAAGACUGACGCUCAGGUGCGAAAGCGUGGGGAGCAAACAGGAUUAGAUACCCUGGUAGUCCACGCCGUAAACGAUGUCGACUUGGAGGUUGUGCCCUUGAGGCGUGGCUUCCGGAGCUAACG